CCAGAAUAAGAUUGUAGGGAAACAAGCCUUGUUACAAGGUUUGAGGGUCUCUGCUAGAAUCAUGUGGACCCCAGUGUAACAAAUCUAUGGAAAGAGAGAAAAUCUCAGCUCAAGGGUCAACAUGUCUUUAUUCCAAGAAAGAGUGUACAUAUGCCAGAAUCAUAUGGACCGCAGACUGGCCCUGGUGAUUCCGUUAAGAAAAAAGAGGAAAA